AGAUUAAGUUAUUAAGGGCGCACGGUGGAUGCCUUGGCACUAGAAGCCGAUGAAGGACGUUACUAACGACGAUAUGCUUUGGGGAGCUGUAAGUAAGCUUUGAUCCAGAGAUUUCCGAAUGGGGAAACCCAGCAUGAGUUAUGUCAUGUUAUCGAUAUGUGAAUACAUAGCAUAUCAGAAGGCACACCCGGAGAACUGAAACAUCUUAGUACCCGGAGGAAGAGAAAGAAAAUUCGAUUCCCUUAGUAGCGGCGAGCGAAAUGGGAAGAGCCCAAACCAACAAGCUUGCUUGUUGGGGUUGUAGGACACUCUAUACGGAGUUACAAAGGACGACAUUAGACGAAUCAUCUGGAAAGAUGAAUCAAAGAAGGUAAUAAUCCUGUAGUCGAAAAUGUUGUCUCUCUUGAGUGGAUCCUGAGUACGACGGAGCACGUGAAAUUCCGUCGGAAUCUGGGAGGACCAUCUCCUAAGGCUAAAUACUCUCUAGUGACCGAUAGUGAACCAGUACCGUGAGGGAAAGGUGAAAAGCACCCCGGAAGGGGAGUGAAAUAGAACCUGAAACCGUGUGCUUACAAGUAGUCAGAGCCCGUUAAUGGGUGAUGGCGUGCCUUUUGUAGAAUGAACCGGCGAGUUACGAUUUGAUGCAAGGUUAAGCAGUAAAUGUGGAGCCGUAGCGAAAGCGAGUCUGAAUAGGGCGUUUAGUAUUUGGUCGUAGACCCGAAACCAGGUGAUCUACCCUUGGUCAGGUUGAAGUUCAGGUAACACUGAAUGGAGGACCGAACCGACUUACGUUGAAAAGUGAGCGGAUGAACUGAGGGUAGCGGAGAAAUUCCAAUCGAACCUGGAGAUAGCUGGUUCUCUCCGAAAUAGCUUUAGGGCUAGCCUCAAGUGAUGAUUAUUGGAGGUAGAGCACUGUUUGGACGAGGGGCCCCUCUCGGGUUACCGAAUUCAGACAAACUCCGAAUGCCAAUUAAUUUAACUUGGGAGUCAGAACAUGGGUGAUAAGGUCCGUGUUCGAAAGGGAAACAGCCCAGACCACCAGCUAAGGUCCCAAAAUAUAUGUUAAGUGGAAAAGGAUGUGGCGUUGCCCAGACAACUAGGAUGUUGGCUUAGAAGCAGCCAUCAUUUAAAGAGUGCGUAAUAGCUCACUAGUCGAGUGACACUGCGCCGAAAAUGUACCGGGGCUAAACAUAUUACCGAAGCUGUGGAUUGUCCUUUGGACAAUGGUAGGAGAGCGUUCUAAGGGCGUUGAAGCAUGAUCGUAAGGACAUGUGGAGCGCUUAGAAGUGAGAAUGCCGGUGUGA
rnacentral:rRNA from 1 species